rnacentral:rRNA from 1 species
CGUAGGUGGCAAGCGUUGUCCGGAAUUAUUGGGCGUAAAGCGCGCGCAGGCGGUCCCUUAAGUCUGAUGUGAAGCCCACGGCUCAACCGUGGAGGUCAUUGGAACUGGGGACUUGAGUGCAGAAGAGGAAGUGGAAUUCCACGUGUAGCGGUGAAAUGCGUAGAGAUGUGGAGGAACACCAGUGGCGAAGGCGACUUUCUGGUCUGUAACUGACGCUGAGGCGCGAAAGCGUGGGAGCAAACAGGAUU